CACAGGUUAGACACUAACACGUCAGACAAAAUGUGGACCUUUGUUGCAGUUUUCAUCCUUCUGACAGCUGGAUACAAUGCGCAGAACUAUUACAACAGUUUGAGAGGCAUUUUGCAUCAUGUUUGUCCAGAUAAACAAGUUGUGUUUCAGAUUAAUAGCUCCUACAGUCCCAAAAACUAAGAUCGCCAAUGGAAGAUUGACUGCA